GAUGAACGCUGGCGGCGUGCCUAAUACAUGCAAGUCGAGCGAAUGGAUUAAGAGCUUGCUCUUAUGAAGUUAGCGGCGGACGGGUGAGUAACACGUGGGUAACCUGCCCAUAAGACUGGGAUAACUCCGGGAAACCGGGGCUAAUACCGGAUAACAUUUUGAACCGCAUGGUUCGAAAUUGAAAGGCGGCUUCGGCUGUCACUUAUGGAUGGACCCACGUCGCAUUAGCUAGUUGGUGAGGUAACGGCUCACCAAGGCAACGAUGCGUAGCCGACCUGAGAGGGUGAUCGACCACACUGGGACUGAGACACGGCCCAGACUCCUACGGGAGGCAGCAGUAGGGAAUCUUCCGCAAUGGACGAAAGUCUGACGGAGCAACGCCGCGUGAGUGAUGAAGGCUUUCGGGUCGUAAAACUCUGUUGUUAGGGAAGAACAAGUGCUAGUUGAAUAAGCUGGCACCUUGACGGUACCUAACCAGAAAGCCACGGCUAACUACGUGCCAGCAGCCGCGGUAA
rnacentral:rRNA from 1 species